rnacentral:rRNA from 1 species
GAUGAACGCUGGCGGCGUGCUUAACACAUGCAAGUCGAGCGAGAUUAUUCUUCGGAAUAGUCUAGCGGCGGACGGGUGAGUAACACGUGGGCAACCUGCCUUGUAGAGGGGGAUAGCCUUCCGAAAGGAAGAUUAAUACCGCAUAACGUUGUUGAAAGGCAUCUUUCGAUAAUCAAAGGAGUAAUCCGCUACAAGAUGGGCCCGUGGCGCAUUAGCUAGUUGGUGAGGUAACAGCUCACCAAGGCAACGACGCGUAGCCGACCUGAGAGGGUGGUCGGCCACAUUGGGACUGAGACACGGCCCAGACUCCUACGGGAGGCAGCAGUGGGGAAUAUUGCACAAUGGGGGAAACCCUGAUGCAGCAACGCCGCGUGAGUGAUGACGGCCUUCGGGUUGUAAAGCUCUGUCUUUGGGGACGAUAAUGACGGUACCCAAGGAGGAAGUCACGGCUAACUACGUGCCAGCCGCCGCCGUAA